AGUCGCCACGGUAAUACAGAGGGUGCGAGCGUUAAUCGGAUUUACUGGGCGUAAAGCGUGCGUAGGCGGCUUCUUAAGUCGGAUGUGAAAUCCCUGAGCUUAACUUAGGAAUUGCAUUCGAUACUGGGAAGCUAGAGUAUGGGAGAGGAUGGUAGAAUUCCAGGUGUAGCGGUGAAAUGCGUAGAGAUCUGGAGGAAUACCGAUGGCGAAGGCAGCCAUCUGGCCUAAUACUGACGCUGAGGUACGAAAGCAUGGGGAGCAAACAGGAUUAGAGACCCCUGUAGUCCCUGUCUCUUAUACA
rnacentral:rRNA from 1 species